rnacentral:rRNA from 1 species
AUUGAACGCUGGCGGCAGGCCUAACACAUGCAAGUCGAGCGGAGCGGCGGACGGGUGAGUAAUGCCUAGGAAUCUGCCUGGUAGUGGGGGAUAACGUCCGGAACCGGGCGCUAAUACCGCAUACUCUCAGAUGAGCCUAGGUCGGAUUAGCUAGUUGGUGGGGUAAUGGCCUACCAAGGCGACGAUCCGUACCUGGUCUGAGAGGAUGAUCAGUCACACUGUAACUGAGAAACGGUCCAGAAUCCUACGGGAGGCAGCAGUGGGGAAUAUUGGACAAUGGGGGAAAGCCUGAUCCAGCCAUGCCGCGUGUGUGAAGAAGGUAUUCGGAUUGUAAAGCACUAUAAGUUGGGAGGCGUUACCAAAAGAAUAAGCACCGGCUAACGUCGUGCCAGCAGCCGCGGUAAUUC